AUUGAACGCUGGCGGCAGGCCUAACACAUGCAAGUCGAACGAGUGGCGGACGGGUGUGCAAUGUCUGGGAAUCUGCCUGAUGGAGGGGGACCACUACUGGAAACGGUAGCCAAUACCGCAUUCCAUCGGCUGGGUCCAGGUGGGAUUGGCUAGUGGGUGGGGUAAAGGCUCACCUAGGCGACGAUCCAUAGCUGGUCUGAGAGGAUGACCAGCCACACUGGAACUGAGACACGGUCCAGACUCCUACGGGAGGCAGCAGUGGGGAAUAUUGGACAAUGGGCGAAAGCCUGAUGCAGCCAUGCCGCGUGUGUGAAGAAGGCCUUCGGAUUGUAAAGUACUUUCAGCGGGGAGGCGUUACCCACAGAAGAAGCACCGGCUAACUCCGUGCCAGCAGCCGCGGUAAUUC
rnacentral:rRNA from 1 species